GAUGAACGCUGGCGGCGUGCCUAACACAUGCAAGUCGAGCGGCAGCGAGGGGUGCUUGCACCCUGUCGGCGAGCGGCGGACGGCUGAGUAACGCGUGGGAACGUGCCCCAAAGUGAGGAAUAACUGCCCGAAAGGGUAGCUAAUACCGCAUAUUAUCUUCGGAUCAAAGGAUUUAUCCGCUUUGGGAGCGGCUCGCGUCGGAUUAGGUAGUUGGUGAGGUAAUGGCUCACCAAGCCGACGAUCCGUAGCUGGUCUGAGAGGAUGACCAGCCAGACUGGAACUGAGACACGGUCCAGACUCCUACGGGAGGAAGCAGUGAGGAAUCUUCCACAAUGGGCGAAAGCCUGAUGGAGCAACGCCGCGUGCAGGAAGAAGGCCUUCGGGUUGUAAACUGCUUUUAUAAGUGAGGAAUAUGACGGUAACUUAUGAAUAAGGAUCGGCUAACUACGUG
rnacentral:rRNA from 1 species